rnacentral:misc_RNA from 1 species
UGGUUCUGGCAUCGAUGAAGAACGCAGCGAAAUGCGAUAAGUAAUGUGAAUUGGAGAAUUCAGUGAAUCAUCGAAUCUUUGAACGCACAUUGCGCCCGCCGGUAUUCUGGCGGGCAUGCCUGUUCGAGCGUCAUUUCAACCCCUUAAGCCCCUGUUGCUUAGCGUUGGGAGCCUACGGUCCGCCGUAGCUCCUCAAAGUCAGUGGCGGAGUCGGCCCCCACCCCAGGCGUAGUAGUUUAAUCAAAGCUCGCCCGCGGUGGGACCGGUCCCCCGCCGUAAAACCCCGAUAUUUCUCGCAAGGUUGACCUCGGACCAGGUAAGGAUACCCGCUGA